UAAAGAAGCCAUUAGCAAGGGGGAUCAGAUCUUAAUGCUGGAGGGAAAGAAGUUGAUUGGCGUCCCCUUGGAAACGGCGCAGCUGACGUUCAAAGACCACAUGAAGGGAAAACUUGACGGAUCUCAAAUAUUGAGAAUGAUCAUUGCCGUAGCUCCUCCAAAGAACUAUGAAGACGAAGUCACUUUCUUUUAGGCUCCUGAGAUAACUGAGGACGCCUAAAUAGCACACGGAGACAAAAGAAAACAACACAAAUUAAAGAAGGCGUUUGCAUUUCUACACCGGAUGUAAUUUUAGAGCAUUGUCUGAAAUCAAAUCUUUUAUUCUGUUCAGACCAGGGUCCCGUCUUUAAAAUAGUUGCGAUUAAUCACCACUUAUUUGCGAUUGAAAUCAGUAGUAACUAUGCACAUGAGAGAUAGAGGACUGCAAACUUGCGAUUGAUUAGAGGACUUGCGAUUGAUUCGGCUCAAUCGCAACUCUUUAUACGAGGUUUACCAGGACUGGUAUAAUCUUCAUAGACAUACAAUGUAUAAAGAUAGAAUGUGCUUUCUAACAAUUGAUCACAAUCAAAUUAUUUCUGCCAACUGCAGCAAAAUCAUUAAUUAUUGACACGACUGAUUUCAUGUUACUGUGAAACACACAACGCAUAAACAUUUUGUUUCAUCUUUCUUAAUUA